AUUUUCAUAGUUUAAUUAUAAAACUUAACUCUUUCACAGUUAAAAUGAGGCCCUCUCUGUAAAUU
rnacentral:tRNA from 1 species